GACGAACGCUGGCGGCGUGCUUAACACAUGCAAGUCGAACGGAAAGGCCCUGCUUUUGUGGGGUGCUCGAGUGGCGAACGGGUGAGUAACACGUGAGUAACCUGCCCUUGACUUUGGGAUAACUUCAGGAAACUGGGGCUAAUACCGGAUAGGAGCUCCUGCUGCAUGGUGGGGGUUGGAAAGUUUCGGCGGUUGGGGCUGGACUCGCGGCUUAUCAGCUUGUUGGUGGGGUAGUGGCUUACCAAGGCUUUGACGGGUAGCCGGCCUGAGAGGGUGACCGGCCACAUUGGGACUGAGGUACGGCCCAGACUCCUACGGGAGGCAGCAGUGGGGAUUAUUGCACAAUGGGCUGAAGCCUGAUGCAGCAACGCCGCGUGAGGGAUGACGGCCAUCGGGUUGUAAACCGCUUUCGCCUGUGACGAAGCGUGUGUUACAGUAAUUGGUAAAGAAGCACCGGCUAACUACGUG
rnacentral:rRNA from 1 species